rnacentral:tRNA from 1 species
GCGAUGGUGGUAUAGAGGUGAGCAUAGCUGCCUUCCAAGCAGUUGACAUGGGCUCUGUUCCCAGCCAUCGCA